rnacentral:rRNA from 1 species
AUUGAACGCUGGCGGCAUGCUUUACACAUGCAAGUCGAACGGCAGCGCGGGCUUCGGCCUGGCGGCGAGUGGCGAACGGGUGAGUAAUGCAUCGAACGUGCCCAGUAGUGGGGGAUAGCCCGGCGAAAGCCGGAUUAAUACCGCAUACGACCUGAGGGUGAAAGCGGGGGACCGAAAGGCCUCGCGCUAUUGGAGCGGCCGAUGUCGGAUUAGCUAGUUGGUGGGGUAAAGGCUUACCAAGGCGACGAUCCGUAGCUGGUCUGAGAGGACGACCAGCCACACUGGGACUGAGACACGGCCCAGACUCCUACGGGAGGCAGCAGUGGGGAAUUUUGGACAAUGGGGGCAACCCUGAUCCAGCCAUGCCGCGUGCGGGAAGAAGGCCUUCGGGUUGUAAACCGCUUUUGUUCGGGAAGAAAUCCUCUGGGCUAAUACCCCGGGGGGAUGACGGUACCGGAAGAAUAAGCACCGGCUAACUACGUG